ACUCCUACGGGAGGCAGCAGUGGGGAAUAUUGCACAAUGGGCGCAAGCCUGAUGCAGCCAUGCCGCGUGUAUGAAGAAGGCCUUCGGGUUGUAAAGUACUUUCAGCGGGGAGGAAGGCAAUACGGUUAAUAACCGUGUUGAUUGACGUUACCCGCAGAAGAAGCACCGGCUAACUCCGUGCCAGCAGCCGCGGUAAUACGGAGGGUGCAAGCGUUAAUCGGAAUUACUGGGCGUAAAGCGCACGCAGGCGGUCUGUCAAGUCGGAUGUGAAAUCCCCGGGCUCAACCUGGGAACUGCAUUCGAAACUGGCAGGCUUGAGUCUUGUAGAGGGGGGUAGAAUUCCAGGUGUAGCGGUGAAAUGCGUAGAGAUCUGGAGGAAUACCGGUGGCGAAGGCGGCCCCCUGGACAAAGACUGACGCUCAGGUGCGAAAGCGUGGGGAGCAAACAGGAUUAGAAACCCUUGUAGUCCC
rnacentral:rRNA from 1 species